GGUGCGAUACCCAAGUGGCCUAAGGGGGCGGUCUGCAAAACCGCUUUUCAUCGGUUCGAAUCCGAUUCGCACCU
rnacentral:tRNA from 1 species